rnacentral:rRNA from 1 species
GGGUUGUGAGGUUAAGCGACUAAGCGUACACGGUGGAUGCCCUGGCAGUCAGAGGCGAUGAAGGACGUGCUAAUCUGCGAUAAGCGUCGGUAAGGUGAUAUGAACCGUUAUAACCGGCGAUUUCCGAAUGGGGAAACCCAGUGUGUUUCGACACACUAUCAUUAACUGAAUCCAUAGGUUAAUGAGGCGAACCGGGGGAACUGAAACAUCUAAGUACCCCGAGGAAAAGAAAUCAACCGAGAUUCCCCCAGUAGCGGCGAGCGAACGGGGAGGAGCCCAGAGCCUGAAUCAGUGUGUGUGUUAGUGGAAGCGUCUGGAAAGGCGCGCGAUACAGGGUGACAGCCCCGUACACAAAAAUGCACAUGCUGUGAGCUCGAUGAGUAGGGCGGGACACGUGGUAUCCUGUCUGAAUAUGGGGGGACCAUCCUCCAAGGCUAAAUACUCCUGACUGACCGAUAGUGAACCAGUACCGUGAGGGAAAGGCGAAAAGAACCCCGGCGAGGGGAGUGAAAAAGAACCUGAAACCGUGUACGUACAAGCAGUGGGAGCAUGCUUAGGCGUGUGACUGCGUACCUUUUGUAUAAUGGGUCAGCGACUUAUAUUCUGUAGCAAGGUUAACCGAAUAGGGGAGCCGAAGGGAAACCGAGUCUUAACUGGGCGUUAAGUUGCAGGGUAUAGACCCGAAACCCGGUGAUCUAGCCAUGGGCAGGUUGAAGGUUGGGUAACACUAACUGGAGGACCGAACCGACUAAUGUUGAAAAAUUAGCGGAUGACUUGUGGCUGGGGGUGAAAGGCCAAUCAAACCGGGAGAUAGCUGGUUCUCCCCGAAAGCUAUUUAGGUAGC